rnacentral:lncRNA from 1 species
CUUCCUUGGUGGAGGCCGACUCUUCAUCCACUAGUGCCAACCUCUCCAUGGUGGCCCGAUGCCUUCCACACUCUGCUUUAAGCUCCUCAAUGCAUCUGUCUCUCUCUCUCUCCGGAGCCAACUGAUGGAAUUUUCUUUCUUUUAUUCCAAAAUUUGAGAGAUGCGAUACUCUGAUGAGUCGACCCAAGUUUGGCUUUGGAGGAUUGUAGUUCGGCCAUCACAC